rnacentral:ncRNA from 1 species
UGAUAGCUGUGAAGCGUGAGGUUGCUGUCAGGCAAAAACAUAAGUCUGAACAGGUUUUCCGUGGAGCGAAUGUCAAGUUAGGAAACUGGCGACAA